UGGGUUGUAAACUGCUUUUGGAAGGGAACAAAACGGGCCUGCGGGCCAACUUGAGUGUACCUUCAGAAUAAGCACCGGCUAACUCCGUGCCAGCAGCCGCGGUAAUACGGAGGGUGCAAGCGUUGUCCGGAUUUAUUGGGUUUAAAGGGUGCGUAGGCGGCUUAUUAAGUCAGGGGUGAAAGACUAUUGCUUAACAAUGGCAGUGCCUUUGAUACUGAUAGGCUUGAGUACAGCUGAGGCAGAUGGAACGGGUGGUGUAGCGGUGAAAUGCAUAGAUACCAUCCAGAACACCGAUUGCGAAGGCAGUCUGCUAAACUGUCACUGACGCUGAGGGACGAAAGCUAGGGGAGCGAAAGGGAUUAGAUACCCCUGUAGUCCUAGCCGUAAACGAUGGAUACUAGGCGUUGUCUGUAUCGACCCAGACUGUGCCGGAGCUAACGCGUUAAGUAUCCCGCCUGGGGAGUACGCACGCGAGACUGACACUCGAAGGAAUUGACGGGCGCCCGCACAAUCGGUGGAGCAUGUGGUUUAAUUCAAAGCAACGCACACAACCUUACCUGGGUUUGAACUGUACGGAAAAGGAUCAGAAAUGACUCCCCCUCUUCAGAGGUCCGUACAGACGUGCUGCAUGGCUGUCCUCACCUCGUGUCGUGAGAUGUUGGGUUAAGUCCCGCAACGAGCGCAACCCUUGUUCACAGU
rnacentral:rRNA from 1 species